UACGUAGGGUGCGAGCGUUAAUCGGAAUUACUGGGCGUAAAGUGUGCGCAGGCGGCCGCGCAAGUCGAGUGUGAAAGCCCCGAGCUUAACUUGGGAAUUGCGCUCGAAACUACGUGGCUGGAGUGUGGCAGAGGAAGGUGGAAUUCCAGGUGUAGCGGUGAAAUGCGUAGAGAUCUGGAGGAACACCGAUGGUGUAAACGGCUUUCUGGACCAUAACUGACGCUGAGGCACGAAAGCGUGGGUAGCAAACAGG
rnacentral:rRNA from 1 species